UUUGUUCAUGUGUGUGGAGAGGUGGCUGCAGUCAGUGAUGAUUUUACAACACGCUGUCUCCUGCUGUUUAAAGGAUUUAGGCUGGGAUGAAAUGUUUUCUAAUAAUUAGUGAUUUUUGUGUUUGUUUAUCACCUGCACGGAGUUCCGUGAAAAGGAAAGCAUCCCUUUUCUGUGUUGAAUUUCACACACAGAGCGGAGCGCGUCAGUCGCAGCUACAGACAAGUCGAGCUUUUCAAUGAGAUGAUUUACUGAGAAACAAACGCGUUGAAGCUCCAGCAGAGCUCUGCGCGAUUCUGAAAGACCAAAGUAAAGUUACUCCUUGCAAAGCAUGUUGUUUGUGUUCUUUCUUUAUCACACCAGAAGAAGUGAUGAAUAUAUUUGAAUGGGAAGGCUACAGUAAAAAAUAAAUAUUACUAAAUACAAACCGCAGACGGUGUUUCUGUUUGAAAAGAGGAUUCCGCUAGACCAGUGUGAAACUCAAACCAGUGAAGAUGGACGCGUCAGCGUGUCCGUGUCGCUCUUUCAAGACGAGCUCGCCUCUACCAUCGAGCACGCAGUGAAAGCGGCUCUACACACCGUCUUGUGCGCGAUUACUAAAGCUGUCGUCAGCAAAUUCACUGAAUUCAGAGUGGAAAUGUAACAAAAAGGAGAAAGAGAAUGAAAGUCGGAAGCUGAGAUUGGAAAUAUCAGAGAACGAGCUGAAAGCUGUGCGAGCGUGUAUAAACGCUGCAGAUGCAGACAUUAAACAGCCUUUAAUAUUUCAAGAUCCCAAAGAGAGCCACACUAUCCCUGAAUCGGAAGCACAGGAAGGGCCAAAGAUAGAAGCAGGAGUGGUGUGCAAGUCUAAUGCAGGUUACAGAGCUGGCAUGUGUUAAAGAUGAAGAGGUCCCUCAACAGGAAUGUGUUCCUAUUAAAGAGGAAUUCAUAGAGCAGGAAUGUGUCCCCAUCGCAGAGGAACUUCCUCAUGAAAAUCAUGUCUGUACACUUGAGGAGAACAAGAAGCUGGGAUCCAACCUGUGUGGUGACUCUCCAUCUGAAUGUGAACUGGGAUUUAGAGGUAAUCCUACAAAACAAGCAGCAUUGAGCUGCCUGUUCAUCCUGCAGAACCUGGUACUGAACACCAGCAGUGUGCUUGAGAUUCAUAUUUUAACCAAGGGGAGCUGCCCAACCACUAUGUCAACAAGGACAUCACUGUGCUUGCUUCUGAGGCACCUGCUAGAUGUGCUGCCGCUGCCACGUCUCUUGAGAAUGCUGUGAGAUCAGCGGUGUCCAAUCACGCUCCUGGAGGCCAUUCCACUGGAGGCAGAGGAUUCAGGCGACAGUGAUGCUGAGCUGGACAGUGAUGGACUCAAAGGAGAGCGGGAGUUGGGCGAGUCCUUUGAAAAGCACGUCUGGGUAGUGUGUAGGUACAACGUUAAACCUUCAAGAGGAACACAUUGUGAAUUACAGAUGAUAGACUUAAGGCCAAACCCCAGUGAAUCUGAGCACAUUUAGCUGCUGUUUCUCUACUGGCACUAACACAAAAUGCCCAGAUCUGUUUCCUAAUGUACUUCUAACUGUAUAAACCUAUUUCUGUUUUACCUGAUAGGAGACAAUAUGAUGGAGAAAAGAGCUGACAGUGAGUACAGAUGGCCUAUAGCUUCUUCUGUUGAGUGUGUUUCUGCCUGUCUGUCUGUCUGCCUGUCUGUCUGUCUGUCUGUCUGUUACACUGAAGCAGAAGAGGAAAACACAAAGCUUGAGGGAUAUACACUUUGAAAAUGUUUCACCUGUUUGCAUUUAACAUGUGCAUUUAAAUGUGUUGAUGCAGCACCUUUAAUAAGACGUAUUGUAUUAAUUGAUCACCUUAAAUGUCAGUAAGAAGGAUCGCCCAACUGAGAUAUAAUAACUUGACUAAAAGGUUGUCCUGUUCCCUUACCUUUUUAUCAAUCAAUGUUUAUUUUAUAUAGCGCCUUUCAUAGUUGACCACAGUUGUUUUGUGCGAUUGUUCUGUGUGAUUCUUUUCAUAUGUAAUGCAGACUGAAAUAUCUUUCUGUUAGUAAGUGCCAUCACCAUCUAGUGCAUAGCAGUGAAUUGAAAGCAGAAGGAAGCGUGAUCCAGUCACUGGCUCUUCUAUAAAGACACUUUGACUGAUCCAGCCUACAUUAUGUACAUAUAUCUAAGACAGGCAACUAGAACUGAAGAGCAGCUCCUGAACUCAGGUGAAAACAUUGUAACACACACUCUAACAAAAUAAAAUCUGAAGCUCCUUACUGUUCAGCAAUCUUCUUUAAUGUACAUUGAAAUCCUAAUCCAAAUUUGGAGAGUUCCUCAACAUGGUCUGUGUUUAAAUAGAAGGGAUGCAACCUACUGUUUGUUUAAUGAUCUUCACAUGCUUUCUGUCUCCUGAAGUGGAUUCUGAAGUGGUCCUGACACAGUCCAUGGUAGUGAAGAAGGAUGCCCUGUCCAAAAGAUACUACAGAAGUAAGUGUGUGUCUCUCUGGAGCUGGCUCCUGGUUUGGGUGAACUGCAUGGAUUGUAGACUGAAGGUCAAUUGAUUGAAGACAUUCCAGUAAAUGGAACUCAAACAUGAAUAUAAAGUGAACUAUUAAAUCCAAUAACCACUGUUUCUGUUUUUCUUUUUCUUUGGAACAGCUUACUGUUGUAAGUAUUUUAUUUUAUUAUGGUACAUUAAUAUGUAGAAAUGAAUUGUAUAUAUAUUUUUAAAUUGUAUUUAAUGGUGUAUGUUUAUUUCAUUUCCAGAUUAUAGCAUCUGAUAUUUUAAUAAAAAUGUGACUGUACAAUACAAUACACAUGUACUGUGCGCGUCACAAGAAAUGAAUACAUGUUAACAAUGGGGCCUCCUACAGCUGAUGUUGAGAAUAUGGAAUGGGGUAUUAUUGUAUAAUAGUAUGAAUUAGCUGCUCUUAAUAUGAAAUGCCAUCUUUAUUUAAUACAUACUCACAUAGUGAGGUGUUCUGUAUACUCUGGGAGGGGAUAUAAAGAAGGAGCCCUGUCUUUGGAUUUUGCCAAUAAUAGAAAUGUACAAAUAGAGAGACACUCCUUUGAAAUAUAUAGCUCUCUAAUACGCUACUGAGGCCCCAUUCUUGUAUAAAGCAGCCACUGCAGUGACUUCAAAUGGACUGAACUCAAUAUAUCACUUGUAUCUUUCACAGUAAGGUACAGAUGCUACUAUGCUCAUCACUAUCACUACUAUUUCUACUACCAUCAUGGGUACCGCUGCGCUCGCAGAAUCUCAUCAAGCAGCUUCUUGAAGGAUCCCAGGGUGUCAGCUUCAACAAAAUUACUAGGGAGUUGGUUCCAGACCCUCACAAUUCACUAUGUAAAAAAAGUGCCUCCUAUUUUCUGUUCUGAAUGCCCCUUUAUCUAAUAUCCACGUGUGACCUCUGGUCCUUGUUUCUUUUUUGAUGUUGAAAAAGUCCCUUGGGCCAACAUUGUCAAUACCUUCUAGGAUUUUGAAUGCUUGAAUCAGAUCACCGCGUAGUCUUCUUUGUUCAAGACUGAAUAGAUUCAAUUCUUUAAGCCUGUCUGCAUAUGACAUAUUCUUUCUAUAGCAGUGUGGCAAUGUGCUCCGCCCCUGUGUGAAUUUCUGUGUUGUAUGUUGCGUGUGUUAAUGUUGGUGUAUAGAGAUUGGUACACAGGAUAUAAACGGGUCUGUGUUUCACGUGGUAUUUAAAUUGUAUAAUUGUAUUUAGGCACGGGAUUGCACAUCACUGUACGUGCAUUUAAAGUAAGUAAUAUGCGCGCACGAGGUUGCACAUAAUUAAUUCACAUUCUGGGAUUCAAGUGAAUAAUUAAUUAUUAAUUGAAUCCCAGCACAACAGUAUAAAUAGAUGCACGUUUCAUUCAUUCGUGGUUGUGUGUUCAGGGCGAAAGAACAGAGAGAGAGAGUGAGGAGAACGAGAACGAGAACGUGAAAGUGAGCAAUUGCUACGUGGUGCUGCAGGACCAGCACAGUACGUGUUUGUUUAGUGUUCGUUUUUGUUUGUCUCUUUGUUUUGGCUACCAGUGCCGUGUUUUGUGUUACAACCUUUUUAUUUUCUGUCUGUUACUUAUUAAAUGCUGAGCGCGAUCACGCGCUCAGCUUCACCAAAA